CGUUGUGACUGCAAGGCUAGAGUACGGACGAGAGGGGGGUGGAAUCCUGGUGUAGCAGUGAAAUGCGUAGAGAUCAGGAGGAACACCGAUGGCGAAGGCCAGCCCCCCUGGGCCUGUACUGACGCUCAUGCACGAAAGCGUGGGGAGCAAACAGGAUUAGAUACCCCUGGUAGUCCACGCCCUAAACGAUGUCGACUAGUCGUUCGGAGCAGCAAUGCACUGAGUGACGCAGCUAACGCGUGAAGUAGACCGCCUGGGGAGUACGGUCGCAAGAUUAAAACUCAAAGGAAUUGACGGGGGCCCGCACAAGCGGUGGAUUAUGUGGAUUAAUUCGAUGCAAUGUGAAAAACCUUACCUGGUUUUGAUAUGUUAUUAAUGAAGUAGAGAUGUAUGAGGUGUUUGAAAGGGAAAGUGGG
rnacentral:rRNA from 1 species